GACGAACGCUGGCGGCGUGCUUAACACAUGCAAGUCGAACGAUGAAGCCCAGCUUGCUGGGUGGAUUAGUGGCGAACGGGUGAGUAACACGUGAGUAACCUGCCCUUGACUCUGGGAUAAGCGCUGGAAACGGCGUCUAAUACCGGAUACGACCUGCCCCGGCAUCGGGUGCGGGUGGAAAGUUUUUCGGUCAAGGAUGGACUCGCGGCCUAUCAGCUAGUUGGUGAGGUAAUGGCUCACCAAGGCGACGACGGGUAGCCGGCCUGAGAGGGUGACCGGCCACACUGGGACUGAGACACGGCCCAGACUCCUACGGGAGGCAGCAGUGGGGAAUAUUGCACAAUGGGCGAAAGCCUGAUGCAGCAACGCCGCGUGGGGGAUGACGGCCUUCGGGUUGUAAACCUCUUUUAGUAGGGAAGAAGGGCUUCGGCUUGACGGUACCUGCAGAAAAAGCACCGGCUAACUACGUGCCAGCAGCCGCCGUAA
rnacentral:rRNA from 1 species